rnacentral:rRNA from 1 species
AACGAACGCUGGCGGCAUGCCUAACACAUGCAAGUCGAACGAGACGUCCGGGACUUUUGGCGCAUGGGUGCGUAACGCGUGGGAAGCUGCCCUUAGGUUCGGAAUAACUCUCCGACAGGGGUGCUAAUACCGGAUAAUGUCUUAGGACCAAAGAUUUUUCGCCUCUGGUUGUGCCAGCGUUGGAUUAGCUAGUUGGUAGGGUAAGAGCUGACUAAGGCGAGGAUCAGUAGCUGGUUUGUGAGGAUGAUCAGCGACACUGGGACUAAGACACGGCCUAGAAUCCUACGCAAUGGGGGAGUGGGUAAUAUUGGACCAUGGGCGAAGGCCUGAUCCAGCUAUGCCGGGUAAGUGAUGAUGGCCGUAGGGUUGUAAUGUUCUUUUACCCGGGAUGAUAAUGACGGUACCGGGAGAAUAAGCUCCGGCUAACUACGUG